UACGGGGGGGGCAAGCGUUGUUCGGAAUUACUGGGCGUAAAGGGCUCGUAGGUGGCCAACUAAGUCAUACGUGAAAUCCCUCGGCUCAACUGAGGAACUGCCUUUGAAACUGUCGGGCUUGAGGUCGGGAGAGGGUAGUGGAAUUCCCAGUGUAGCGGUGAAAUGCGUAGAUAUUGGGAGGAACACCAGUGGCGAAGGCGGCUACCUGGGCCGGUUCUGACGCUGAGGCGCGAAAGCGUGGGUAGCAAACAGG
rnacentral:rRNA from 1 species